rnacentral:tRNA from 1 species
GGGAAGGUGGCUCAAUGGUAGAGUUCUUGCCUUGCAUGCAUGAGGCCCUAGGUUUGAUUCCUCAGUACCA